rnacentral:rRNA from 1 species
UGUUUUCAUUAAUCAAGAACGAAAGUUAGGGGAUCGAAGACGAUCAGAUACCGUCGUAGUCUUAACCAUAAACGAUGCCGACCAGCGAUUAGGAGACGUUGAAUACAAAACACCACCAUCGGCGCGGCCGCCCUUGGCGUCUGUGCUCCUUUCACCGGUGGCGCGCGGCGACGGUUUUUUCCCCCGGUGCCGCCGGUGGACGCCCCCCUAGCAUCUUGUAAGAA